UUUUACAAUCCGGAAUGCGGAUGAUGCCCGUAGUUUUGUUCAAGUUGAAGGAAACAUGGAAAGGUUUGAAAGCUAUCUGAAAACAUGGAUGAAAAAAAUACAGGAGUUACUGUUUGAAAGUGAACAACUACGAAUGGAAACUGAUGAUUUAGGUCCUCAGGAUGAAAUUGAGUUUUGGAAAAUCAGAAUGUGUCGUCUUACUUUACUAAUGGACC